UGGGGAAUCUUGGUCAAUGGGCGCAAGCCUGAACCAGCGACGCCGCGUGAGUGAUGAAGGCCUUCGGGUUGUAAAGCUCUGUGGGGAGGGACGAAAAACUGGAGUCGAAUAGGCUACCAGGUUGACGGUACCUCCUUAGCAAGCACCGGCUAACUCUGUGCCAGCAGCCGCGGUAAGACAGAGGGUGCAAACGUUGCUCGGAAUCACUGGGCGUAAAGGGCGUGUAGGCGGACUUGUAAGUCGGGCGUGAAAUCCCUGGGCUCAACCCAGGAACUGCGCUCGAAACUGCGAGUCUUGAGUACCGGAGAGGAAGGUGGAAUUCCUGGUGUAGAGGUGAAAUUCGUAGAUAUCAGGAGGAACACCAGUGGCGAAGGCGGCCUUCUGGACGGUAACUGACGCU
rnacentral:rRNA from 1 species